rnacentral:rRNA from 1 species
UACGGAGGGUGCAAGCGUUAUCCGGAUUCACUGGGUUUAAAGGGUGCGUAGGAGGACUGGUAAGUCAGUGGUGAAAUCCCCCGAGCUUAACUUGGGAACUGCCGUUGAUACUAUCAGUCUUGAAUACCGUGGAGGUGAGCGGAAUAUGUCAUGUAGCGGUGAAAUGCUUAGAUAUGACAUAGAACACCAAUUGCGAAGGCAGCUCGCUACACGAAUAUUGACUCUGAGGCACGAAAGCGUGGGGAUCAAAACAGG